GACGAACGCUGGCGGCGUGCUUAACACAUGCAAGUCGAACGGAAAGGCCUGCUUUCCCUUGUGGAUUGCGGGUACUCGAGUGGCGAACGGGUGAGUAACACGUGAGUGAUCUGCCCCCAACUUGUGUAUAAGCCUGGGAAACUGGGUCUAAUUCCCGAUAGGACUGCAGGGUGGUGCCUUUGGUGGAAAACGAUGUUCUAGUGGUUGGGGAUGAGCUCGCGGCCUAUCAGCUUGUUGGUGGGGUAAUGGACUACCAAGGCGGCGACGGGUAGCCGGCCUGAGAGGGUGGACGGCGACAUUGGGAGUGAGAUACGGACCAGACUCCUACGGGAGGCAGGAGUGGGGAAUAUGGCACAAUGGGCGGAAGCCUGAUGCAGCGACGCCGCGUGGGGGAUGUCGGCCUUCGGGUUGUAAACUCCUUUCGACCGCGAGGAAGCCACCUGGUUGGAAGGGUGGUGACGGUAGCGGUAGAAGAAGCACCGGCUAACUACGUG
rnacentral:rRNA from 1 species